rnacentral:misc_RNA from 1 species
CCAAUAGCGUAUAUUAAAGUUGUUGCAGUUAAAAAGCUCGUAGUUGAAUUUCGGGAUUGACACAUCGGUCGUGCCUUAAGGGGUAUGAACUGGUGUAGUCAAUUUCUCACCUUCUAGAGAACCGCGAUGCCCUUAAUUGGGUGUCGCGGGGAACCAGGACCUUUACUUUGAAAAAAUUAGAGUGUUUAAAGCAGGCAUUUUGCUUGAAUACAUUAGCAUGGAAUAAUAAAAUAGGACGGCAUGAUUCUAUUUUGUUGGUUUCUAGGAUCACCGUAAUGAUUAAUAGGGAUAGUUGGGGGCAUUAGUAUUCAAUUGUCAGAGGUGAAAUUCUUGGAUUUAUUGAAGACUAACUACUGCGAAAGCAUUUGCCAAGGAUGUUUUCAUUAAUCAAGAACGAAAGUUAGGGGAUCGAAGACGAUCAGAUACCGUCGUAGUCUUAACCAUAAACUAUGCCGACUAGGAAUCAGACGAUGUUAAUUUUUUAAUGACUCGUUUGGCACCUUACG